GAAGACAAAAGCUGGCAUCGUGGGACCAACACUGGACGCUACUAAGCAAUGUUCGAUAAGGUUCUUUUACCUGUUGCGCGGAUCGAGUACGCCGCAGUUGACAUUGAAUGUCCGGGCAUCUAAGGAGGGGCCGUGGAAACCUGUUUGGCAAGCAACUGGACAAUCACACUUCUCACACUUUACAGCAGCUAGCGUGCUCUUCAGUGAGAUCACUCCAUAUCAGGUUUCUUUCACCGGAGAACAUCUUGUGCCGGGGCAUCAUGGCUACAUUGCCAUCGAUGAUGUUACAUUUUCAGAAAGCUGCAAGGCAUACG
rnacentral:lncRNA from 1 species